rnacentral:rRNA from 1 species
GCGACCUUAGCUCAGGCAAGAACACCCACUGAGUUUAAGAAUAUAAUUAAGCAAAGAAAAGUAAAUUUACAAGGAUUCACCUAGUAGCGACAAACGAACCGGGAAGAGCCAACAUGAAAAUCGAGUGGCAGCGUCACCUGAAUUGUAGCUAGUAGAAGUUUCAUAAGCAGUAGACCUGGUUCAAGUCCCUUUGAAGGGGGCGCUUAAGAGGGUGAUAGCCUCAUCGAGCUGGGGCCAUGCCACAUCACGAGGCAUUUUCACGUGAGUCGGGUUUUUUGGGAAUGCAUCCCUAAUUGGGUGGUAAAUUCUGUCAAAGGCUAAAUACGGCCGAGAGACCAAUAUCGAACAAGUACUUUGAGGGAAAGAUGAAAAGGAAUUUGAAGUGAGAGUUAAAGAGUGAUUGAAAUUACUGGGAGGGAAGUGGAUGGUGGUUGUUGAUGCGUCUCGGUCAUAUGUGGAAUGGAUCAUGCUGGUCUGCCACUUGAUUUGAGGUACAAACCAGCACAGGCUGUUGCAUUGUCACAAGCGCAGGUGGAUUACUACAUGUCGGUUUUCCAUUGUAGUGGUCGAGGAACAAAGCAUUCGCCCUUCUGGUGGACCAUUUGCACUUGCAUGCUCAUGGUCUUGGUUGGUGGGCUUUCCAUCCGAUCCAUCUUGAAACACAGACCAAGGAGUCUAACAUGUGUGCAGGUCUGUGGGUUUGAAAACCUGUGAGGUGCAAGGAAGAUGGUGGGAGAGAUCCCCUCUUGGGGGGGGUGCAUCAUGGACCAACCUUGAGCUUAUGAUAAGGGUUCGAGUUCGAUCAAAACCUGUUGGAAUGCAAAAGAUGGUGAACUAUGCCUAAGCAGGGUGAAGCCAAAGCAAACUCUACUGGAAGCUUGUAGUGAUACUGACAUGAAAAUCAUUCAUCUGUCUUGGGUAUAUGGGUGAAAGACUAAUCGAACCAUCUAGUAGCUGGUUUCCUCCGAAGUUUCCCUUGGGAUAGUUGGUGACCACGCAUGAGUUUUAUUGGGUAAAGCAAAUGAUUAGAGGCAUCGGGGGCAUAACACCCUCAACCUAUUAUCAAACUUUAAAUAGGUAAGAGGGUGUGGCUGCUCCAUUGGGUCAUGCCAUGGAAUCGAGAGCUACAAGUGGGCCAUUUUUGGUAAGCAGAACUGGCGAUGCAGGAUGAACUGAAAGUCAAGUCAUGAUGCAGAAUUGUGUGCUAACCUAGAUCCUGCAAAGGGUGUUGGUUGAUUAAGACAGUAGGUCGAUGGUCAUGGAAGUUGAAAUCCACUAAGGAGUGUGUAACAACUCACCUGCCAAAUCAACUAGCCCCGAAAAUGGAUGGCAUUGAAGUGGGAAACCUAUACUGAAUUGUCAGAGGAAUUUUUUGGCUUCAAUGAGUAGGAGGACAUGGGGGUCAUUGAGAAACCUCAGGCGUGAGCUUGGGUGGAUUGGCCCCCAGUGCAGAUCUUGGUGGUAGUAGCAAAUAUUUAAAUGAGAACUUUGAAGACGGAAGUGGGGAAAGGUUCCAUGUGAGCAACACUUGGACAUGGGUUAGUCGACCCUAAGAGAUAGGGAAGCCGUGUAUCAAGGAUGCACUCUGCACAAGCAUUGAAAUGGAAUCAGGUUAAUAUUCCCAAACUAGGACAUGACGGUGGGUGGCAACAUUAGGAAAUCCAGAGACAUCGUCGGGGGCCCCUGGAAGAGUUAUCUUUUCUUUUUAACAACAUUCCCACCCUAGAAUCAGUUCACCUAGAGAUAGGGUCUAGUAGCUGGAAGAGCACCGCACAUCUUGCGGUGUCUAGUGCGCCCUUGGAGGCCCUUGAAAACCUAGAGGAUGGAGUACUUUUCAUGCCCAGUCAUACUCAUAACCACAUCAGGUCUCCAAGGUGAACAACCUCUAGUCAAUAGAACAAUGUAGGUAAGGGAAGUCAGUAAAAUGGAUCUGUAAAUUUGGGAAAAGGAUAUGCUCUGAGGAGAGUGCCUAGUGAUCUGUUCCCUCAACUUGUGGGCUGUUGGCAGUCUUCCCGAGCUUCUCUCAUGGCAAGGGUAGGAAGUCAUGCAUCGAUUGGGGUACAGGCAUAGAAUUCCCCCUUCCAUGGGAUUUUCCCUAUGCGGAAAACGGUUGACUCAGAACUGGUAUGGACAGGGGGACUCCGACUAUUUAAUUAAAAAAAUUAAUUGUGAUGGUGCUUGCGGAUGCUGAUGUAAUGUGAUUUCUAACCAGUGCUCCAAAUGUUAAAGUGAAGAAAUUCAACCAAGUGCAAGUAAACAACAGGAGUAACUAUGGCUCUCUUAAGGUAGCCAAAUGCCUCAUCAUCUAAUUAGUGACGCACAUGAAUGGAUUAACAAGAUUCCCACUGUGCCUAUCUACUAUCUAGUGAAACCACAACCAAGGGAACGGGCUUGGCAAAAUCAGCGGGGAAAGAAGACCUUGUUGAGCUUGAAUCUAGUCUGACUUUGUGCAAUAACUUGAGAGGUGUAGAAUAAGUGGGAGACAUUUUUGGCGCAAGUGAAAUACCACUACUUUUAAUGUUAUUUUACUUAUUCUGUGGGGGGGGAGACGGGGCACUGCCCCUAUUUUUGGCCUUAAGGCACAUUUCAGUGGGUCGAUCAGGGCAGAGGACAUUAUCAGGUGGGGAGUUUGGCUAGGGAAGCACAUUUGUUAAAAGAUAACACAGGUGUCCUAAGAUGAGCUCAACAAGAACAUAAAUCUCAUGUGGAACAAAAGGGUAAAAUCUCAUUUGAUUUUGAUUUUCAGUACGAAUACAAACCAUGAAAGUGUGGCCUAUAGAUCCUUUAGAUUUUGGAAUUUGAAGCUAGAGGUGUCAUAAAAGUUACCAUAGGGAUAACUGGCUUGUGGCAACCAAGCGUUCAUAGCGAUGUUGCUUUUUGAUCCUUUGAUGUCGUCUCUUCCUAUCAUUGUGAAGUAGAAUUCACCAAGUGUUGGAUUGUCCACCCACCAAUAGGGAAUGUGAGCUAGGUUUAGAUUAUCAUGAGAUAGGUUAGUUUUACCCUACUGAUGAACCACACUGCAUUAGUAAUUCAACUUAGUAUGAGAGGAACUGUUGACUCACACAAUUAGUCAUCACACAUGGUCGAAAAUCAAAUGGUGUGAAGCUACAGUGUGUCGAAUUAUGACUAAAUUCCUCUAAGACAGAAUCGAUGCUAGAAGUGGUGCAUGUCACUCUUCGACUGUAUCUUGACCAAAGUAGGGGCGUAACUUUGUCGCACCUAGGGUCCCGUGUCAUUUACAAACCGUGACCAUGAAGCAUCUCGGUCACAACAAAUUUGAAGUUAAAUUCCAAACAACGUAUUGUAAGUGGCAGACUGGCCUUUCUAUCAUGAUCCACUGAGAUUCAGCCCUUGUUCACCUCGAUUCCGAUCUUUGCUCUUGUCACACAUUAU